UCCUUGGAAAAUCUUAUCUGAUUCAGGAUCAAUUUAUCGGUUACACUCCCCUAUCACCAGUGAUUCUUUGUGAACUGACAUUCUGAAAAAGGGCAAGAACAUUAAAGAUAAAGGGAAACUAUAAACAAAAGAAAUUAUCAACAAAAAUAGAUUUACAGACGUCAACAAAGCCUAAAUGGUCAGACAUCUUGGUUUUCAUGAUCAUCAUUCAACAGGUCAAUACUGAACAGCAAACUUAAAGUUGAUAUUUUUCUACAUAGUGUGACUUUUUUAUUAAUUUGAAAUGGAAUGUGUUUUUUUUUCCUACAUAAGAAAGAGGAAAUUUCAACAUAAUGAC